UGUCGAUAAUUAUCAUGGGAAAACUGUCGGUUCGGUUUUCUCUGUAUCGGUGUACGACGAUUUUACUCGUUAUUCGCGAAUUGAAAAUAUCCUGUGUACUCGCGGACGCGGCUAGGUGUAUCCGGGAUGACACAAUCAUCGACACAAGCGAAACCUGUUUUUUCUACGACGAAAAUAACCGGCCGCCGAUCAAGUGCUUAUACUUUCGGCGUGUCCCCCCGCGAAAGUCCUAUUCUACAUUUAAAUUUGAACAUCACCUGCGCAGAAAUCGGUCAGGUCAGUCACGCGAGGAAUGUUGGCGAUUUGUGUCGGAUCCGAUGAAAUAUAGUUCAAGUGUUUCCACCACAAAGGAAGGAAUUCGAACGCGAAUGCGUCAGCGGAGAAUGUAAAAGUGGAACUUUGAAGAUACAUAUUAACUACUUUUUUCAAGUUCGUAUCUUAGGCGAACAGAAGUCACGAUCGGUACACUUUAAUCAGUUGGACAACAACGGAGGGAAAAAGUUAUCUUUUUGUUCGUAGGCUCGUAAACUUGAAUACAUCUAAAUUAGAAGAUAAAAAGGUGACCGAACACAUUUGUCCACGAAAGCCAAGGUAUCUCUUCAACGCACUGACUCCGAGCCAGACUCGAUCGUGACGAAAUCCACCUGAACCGUGAAAUCACCGACGCACCAGCCAUUAAGUGCCCAGGCCGAAAGAAAGGUGUAACAAAAAUCACGAGGGAAACACGUUGUCCAUUAAAUAACGGGGUUACCAGUAGAGGCAGAUCUCGCAUUGAGCACAACGUGGCACUCCGUGAGAUUCCGUAGCGGCUGAAGAAUGUCCCCCCACUGCUCGGGGAAUCGUUCGGAAACGGGAGGAGAAAAAAGAACCAUAAUCCCGAUGAGCAAGUGAACCUACGAACCUGGAUUUGGGCGCGCUUGACCUCGGUGUAGAGCCAGUUGUCGGUGGAAAAGGCGAUCGCGAGGAGGCCGGUGGCAAUGAUACCGGUUAUGGUCGCGAGGGACAGCGUCACCGCGGAACAGGGCAUCUUGGUAUCCUCUUCUUCUUCUUCUUCUUCUUCUUAUUUUUCUUCUUCUUUCUCUUCUUCUUUUUCUUCGUCAACCUCUUCCUCUUCUUUCUUAUAUUCUACCGAUUUCCCUUUAUCGACCACACUCCACGCUCCGUUACGUUCACCUCACAAGGCACCACUUGCGACGAUACUGAGAAGAAGAGCUACGAUGCUGAGGAACAGAGGUCGUCGUCGUCCUCGAGGUUGUCGAGCAUCCGUGGACUAAAAGGAACAAGGAAGAAAGAGGGAGGGAGGAAGAGCGUAACAGAGAGAUGCCGAGAGAAAGAUAUGAGACUCGCACGAAACAGGUCACGAACCGUUCGCGAAUCGGUCCAGCCUUCGCGAGAUAAUCCUUCGGAAGAGGAUCGGACGCGAACUCGGUCAACGGAAUUUCUGGAUCACGAUCGUGCGUGGUACACCGGGCGAUCGUGGGUCGGUUGGUGGAAGAAGAGGACGAGGGAGUACUACUUCUCGAGGAUGAGGACGUCCUUCAGGGUGCACGAUACUCCGCGAUACGCAUUACUACCAUUCUCUCCUACGACAACGACACUAACGGCCCGACUCACCUCGGAGAAAAGCCGAGAGUCGACCAAGGAGAGAGAACCGGACCCGAAGUGGGGAUAUGCACGUAGCCCCGGGCAGGUAUAUUACCUGUGUUUUACCUUCAGCGGUGCUCAACGCAGGCCGAGGCCCGAGCCGCUACGCGGAGAAUGCAGCGCGCAGGCUACGCCGAUUGGCUGCCCCCACGGGAUAAUGGAAUCGCACAGUGGGUGGGUCCCUGGGAACCGAUUUUUCCUUCGGGAACGUCUCUCGGACGUGUGUCCUGCGUUCCCUGCCCUCCGAUGCACCGAACCCGGCCGGUUUCAGAGGCCAUGGACGGAGACUUCGACGCACGCAUGUGCGCGAAUUCCUUGAUGCGCACGAUCCAUUCCGUGCUGUUUAUUCUAAUCUUGCUUUUAGGAAUCAUGCCGUGGUACCGAUGCAUCGGUGGAGGAGCUCCUUUUCGAUACUUUUACUUGAAUUCGAACUUCGCUUCGGACGCGGUGUUUUGAUAAUGUAAUUCCGAGGGAGUUGGUGGGGGAAAGGAACAGUAAAGCAGUUAUCGUUGUAAGGUUAAAAUACAGGCUCAGUAUGCGACGCCACAGAUGCGGUCGACUUUUAAUAAAUAUUUCAUUGCUUGGACAGUUGAUGUUUACACUAGCAACGAUCGGAUGUAAAUAUUUAAUAUACAAAUGAAGGAUACCGUAGCACAAUGGAGAUACAAGAGUUGGGGGACGUGGGGGAAAUGAGAACAGCGUUUGCACGGCUGUCUACCUGCUACCAUAAAGCAUUCCUUCCUUGUUCCUUUACCAAACAGUCCCACCACCAGCGAGAUAAAGUCGAUGCAAUAGUCGAAGGCGGGGAAAAGCGAGGAAUUCCUUGCAUUCUGCGCGCUUCCCCGUCCGUUUUGCCUCGGCAGCCUUGGCUACCGCGGGUUCCACCUUUUUACCGCGUUUGAUUAAUUUUGAUCCACGGGUAAUCCUCUCUCUUUCUCUUUCUUUCUCCUCCUUCUCUGUCCCUCUCUCGCUCUGUCCCUCUCCGUUCGCCCCCUCCUACACGGAUACCUGUCGGUGAUAGAUCACCAGCAAGGAGCGAGGAGCACCUGCGUACCUGCGGGUUCGUGAAAUCGCGGACAUGCAGGUACCAGGAAUUUUUGCGCGGCUAAUGCCACUUCGACCUUAAUUGCCCACCUGAAUUUUACAAGUCUGCCUUGGUAAUUGUUACACCGAGCAAUCAGUGCAUACAAUACUUUAUAACGUAUAAACUGACUGAAAUGAAACGUUUUUAAUAAUGGUAUUCGAUGUUUACAUACACCUCGAAGAAUCUCGUGCAAUAAUUCUGUCGUUCAAAUAAUUAGUAAUGCUGUUACUGUGUUGGGACCAAAGAAAUUUGGAUGUAUUUUUGUAGCUCGCUGAAAUGUACGACUUAAUGGGUUAUUAAUUAUUACAUUGUAAUACGGUUCCGUUUGUUUUGAACUCGUUCUCCAAUAGGAUUGCGAAGAAAUGAGUGAUUGGAAUUUUUAAUUAAUAUGAAAGAGAAUUGUAUCUGCUACACUGAACCUUUUUAUAAGAAAUUUAAUCUGCUAACCGUAGAGUAUGAGUAAAUUCUUAACAACAGUCGAUUAAAUAUCAGAGGAAAUUAAUCAGUUACUAAAAUUUAAUAUUGAAGGGUCAUACGGUGUACCCUGAAAGGGAGAACCUUUGGCAUUCCAUGCCUUUCUAAAAAUUUUCUCCAUUCUCUGUAAAUAAAACAUUCACAGGUAUUAUAUUGUCAUUAAAUACAUAAUAGGUUUAUGAAACAGUGAUUUUACUCACAAUAUCUUCAGAAGUUGGUUUACCAAGAAGCUUUUGCUGAUGAUUCCACAUCAACUCUUGAACUUUCAUUUGCUCUUCUAAUCCCAUAUCAUCCAAAUUUCUUGAACAAUCUAUCUUCUUCAAUUCUAUUUUUGGUUCACCAACUAUCAGUGCAUCCCACCACCUCUCAGAAGCUUUUUCAAAAUGAAUCUACAAUGAAACAAAUCAUAUACGAUAGAUAGCAUCUAUGUAUAUUAGAAAUUUUUAAAGCAAUAUUUAUUAUAUCAUUCAACUUACACUGAUAUGCUGUCCAGGUACUACCGACCAUACAGAUUCAUUUUUUCUGGUCUUAUAACAAAGUUUUUCCAUAAAAAUUGUAGUCCAUUCUGAAUCAGAAUAUUCUUCCUGAUGUUGCGCUAGUGUUGAUGUUCUUGCUUCUAUUUUAAUAUCCAUUGAAUCUAAAUCAACUUUAAGGUCUUUUGCAGUCUUUAUACAAUCCGGUAUCUUAAUGAGAACAUCUAGAUCACUAAUGGUUUGUGACCAUGUAUAAUUGUCUCUUACUGCUCCAUUGUAACUAUCAGAAAUCCUAUUAUUUUCUACUAAUCGAAUUUCUUUAUCUGUAACUUGUCCCUCUGUACUUGUUUCUACUUCAAUUUCUUCAACAACUUGUGGACCAAUCUCUUCUGUAAUUAUUAUUGCUUCAUUUUCAGUUUCCUCAUUACUCGUAGCAUUAGAAUCUUUAUUUAUUGGUGGAUCCGUUCCACUUGAACAUUUGGCAAUAUUUUCCCAUUUUUGUAAACUACUUAAAACCAAUUUCUUUGUCAUCCCAGGUGGGAAACCUAAUUUCUGAUCUGGACCAGAUUCAACAUAAAAAUCUGUACUGUAAUCGAAUUGUAUGUUACUAUUUUUAUUAGUGACACAUUUUCUACCAUGAAGUGUAAACCAUACAUAAAAAUCACUUAAACUACAUGAUCACUUACCGUCUGCAAAGAAAUCCAAAAAAUGCAUCUAAGAAAUUGACAAUAUUUUUUUCUUCUGUUAAAAUUUGUAAAAAUGCAUUAUCGUGGUCAGAAUUCAUUGUAUACAAUCUCACUGGUCUACUUGUAUCAAGGGUUUCCCAGAUAAUGCAAUCGUUUAAUUUAACAAUUAACUGUUCUAUAAAAUGUAUUGAUAGACUAUUUUCAAGGUUUCUCUUUAAACGUUCUUAUAUUGCGUAUUUUAAUAAACAUUUACAAGAAAUGUAUUUAAAGAUAAACUGUUUGAGAAUCACUGAUUAAAAAGUUAAAUGCAGAUAACGCCUAUCUGUCGAACAAUUUUGAUUGUGUAAAAUAAAUAAACUAUGUUUUAGUUUUUAAUAUAAUUUUUAUUAUUAUAAGUUUCCCAGUUUUUCUCAAAAAUAUUGGAUUGAAUGACAGAUAUAACGAUCACAUUCAC